rnacentral:rRNA from 1 species
UACGUAGGGUCCGAGCGUUGUCCGGAAUUAUUGGGCGUAAAGGGCUCGUAGGCGGUUUGUCGCGUCGGGAGUGAAAUCAUCGGGCUUAACUCGGUGCUUGCUUUCGAUACGGGCAGACUAGAGGCAUGCAGGGGAGAACGGAAUUCCUGGUGUAGCGGUGAAAUGCGCAGAUAUCAGGAGGAACACCGGUGGCGAAGGCGGUUCUCUAGUACGGUACUGACGCUGAGACGCGAAAGCGUGGGGAGCGAACAGG